AACGAACGCUGGCGGCAGGCCUAACACAUGCAAGUCGAGCGGACCUUUCGGGGUCAGCGGCGGACGGGUGAGUAACGCGUGGGAAUAUGCCCUUCUCUACGGAAAAGUCCUGGGAAACUGGGGGUAAUACCGUAUACGCCCUUUGGGGGAAAGAUUUAUCGGGGAAGGAUUAGCCCGCGUUGGAUUAGGUAGUUGGUGGGGUAAUGGCCUACCAAGCCGACGAUCCAUAGCUGGUUUGAGAGGAUGAUCAGCCACACUGGGACUGAGACACGGCCCAGACUCCUACGGGAGGCAGCAGUGGGGAAUCUUAGACAAUGGGGGCAACCCUGAUCUAGCCAUGCCGCGUGAGUGAUGAAGGCCUUAGGGUUGUAAAGCUCUUUCAGCUGGGAAGAUAAUGACGGUACCAGCAGAAGAAGCCCCGGCUAACUCCGUG
rnacentral:rRNA from 1 species